GCGGGAGCUGUCGGGGCGGGGCGGCACCGCCGAGCUCCGAGCUGUGAGGACCGCCCCGGGCCUUGGGCGGGGCGGGGGCCAGGGAAGGGCGUGCGCAGGAUUGGGGAGCACGUUUUGCGUCUUGCUGUGCGUGAGGAAGCGGGGAUCCAGGUCAAGGCUAUGGAAAGUUCCAGAAGCAAAAACAAAAAAAGUUCGGGUACAGCGGCUCACACCUGUAAUCCCAGCUCUUAGGGAGAUGGAAACUGGAGGAUCACUUGAGGCCAGGAGUUCAAGACCAGCCUGGGCAACAUAGCAAGACCCAGUCUCUUAAAAGAAAAUUAAAAAGAAAGAGUAAAUAAAGUUCCAGAAGCUUUGCUCUCCUUAUCCAAGCAGCGUUUGUACUUUGGCACUGGAAAGUGCGGGAGUCAGGGGUUUGUGAGA
rnacentral:lncRNA from 1 species